GAUGAACGCUGGCGGCGUGCCUAAUACAUGCAAGUCGAGCGAACAGACGAGUAUCUUGCUCCUCUUACGUUAGCGGCGGAAGGGUGAGUAACACGUGGAUAACCUAUCUCUAAGACUGGGAUAACUUCCGGAAACCGCAGCUAAAAUCCGAUAAUAUAUUGAACCGUAUGGUUCCAUAGUUAUAGAAGCUUUUGCUGUCACUUAUGGAUGUACCCGCGCCGCAUUAGCUAGUUGGUAAGGUAACGCCUUACCAAGGCAACGUUGCGUAGCCGACCUGAGAGGGUGAUCGGCCACACUGGAACUGAGACACGGUACAGACUCGUACGGGAGGCAGCGGUAGAGAAUCUUCCACAAUGGACGAAAGCCUAACGUAGCAACGCCGCGUGAGUGAUGAAGGUCUUCGGAUCGUAAAACUAUGUUAUUAUGGAAGAACAAAUGUGUAAGUAACUAUGCACGUCUUGACGGUACCUAAUCAGAAAGCCACGGCUAACUACGUG
rnacentral:rRNA from 1 species